AUUGAACGCUAGCGGCAUGCUUUACACAUGCAAGUCGAACGAGUGGCGGACGGGUGAGUAAUAUAUCGGAACGUGCCCAGUAGCGGGGGAUAACUACUCGAAAGAGUGGCUAAUACCGCAUACUAUCGGAGCGGCCCAUAUCGGAUUAGCUAGUUGGUGGGGUAACGGCUCACCAAGGCAACGAUCCCUAGCUGGUCUGAGAGGAUGACCAGCCACACUGGGACUGAGACACGGCCCAGACUCCUACGGGAGGCAGCAGUGGGGAAUAUUGGACAAUGGGGGAAACCCUGAUCCAGCCAUCCCGCGUGUAUGAGAAGGCCUUCGGGUUGUAAAGUACUUUUGGCAGGGAAGCGGUAUCUGCAGAAUAAGCACCGGCUAACUACGUGCCAGCAGCCGCGGUAAUUC
rnacentral:rRNA from 1 species